GGAAGGAUCAUUCACAAAAAACAUUCUCACCAUGUGAACCUCGCUAACAGUUUCGGCUGUUAGCCAUUCAUGCACCUAGUCUGUUUAGGGUGUGUGGCUGCUUCGGCAGUUUACAGACAACUUGUGGUGGUUUUAAAUGUCUUGAUAUCUAUAAGCUCUAUAUACUAUUAGCGGUGGAUGUCUUGGCUCCCACAACGAUGAAGGCCGCAGCAAAAUGCGAAACGCAUUGUGAUUAGCGGAAUUCUGAGAAUCAAUAGGUCGCUGAACGCAAACGGCACUACUGCGUGAGCAGUAGUAGGUCUGUUUCAGUCUCACUUGCAACCUCAUCAAACAAAUUGUAUUAUUACAGUUUGCUAUUGGUGAGUCAAGGUGCCGCUCGAUUCGUCUGGCGGUCGCAGUGUUCUAUAACAGUUCAUUAAGUUAACAUAUUGGUUUAUCCUGUGUUGCUGAAGAACUACUACGUUAUAGCGUACUAAACUACAUGAGCUGAAAUCAGACCAGGCUACCCGCUGGACUUAAGCAUAUUAUUAAGCGGAGGAAAAGAAACUAACUAGGAUUCCCUCAGUAGUGGCGAAUGAACAGGGAAGAGCACAAAAUGAAAAUCGGGUUUCGGCUCGAGUUGUAGUCUCAAAAUUCGGCUCCAGUCAACGCGCAAGGAUAAUUCCCUUGGAAUGGGGAACCAAAGAGGGUGAAAGUCCCGUAUUUGCUUUGCAGUCGUUGGCGGUCGGACCGGAAUUUACGAGUCGCGUUCCCUGGGAUCGGAGCGCAAAGUGGGUGGUAAAUUUCAUCUAAUGCUAAAUAUUGGUGGGAGACCGAUAGCGAACAAGUACCGUGAGGGAAAGAUGAAAAGAACUCUGAAAAGAGGGUUAAAAGUGCCUGAAACCGCUAGUAGGGAAGCGCAUAGGACUGUUCUUGCUUUUGAGAAUGCCUAGUGAGAAAGCUGAUCCUGUAAGUUCAAAGAAUUUGCGGGGGUAGGCCCAAUUGCUAGGCUGUUAUCUCAUUGGCUUAGUUAAUUUUGGUUGUUUCUGUGUGAAAACCUCCGACUUUGCCCGCCUAGCGGGUGUUGUCGGGUCAGGUGACAUGGAAGCUGCCAACGUUGACAAAACGGUUCUAUCCGACCCGUCUUGAAACACGGACCAAGGAGUCUAACUCUUGUGCAAGUGUGCUGGUGUAAAACCAGGGCGCGUAAUGAAAGUGAAAGUUGGGAAAUUUGCACCAACGACCGGACAAUCAGGGGGUUUACUUCCUACCGUUCGAGUUAGAGCACAAAGGUUAGGACCCGAAAGAUGGUGAACUAUGCCUGAAUAGGGUGAAGCCAGGGGAAACUCUGGUGGAGGCUCGUAGCGAUACUGACGUGCAAAUCGUUCGUCAAAUUUGGGUAUAGGGGCGAAAGACUCAUCGAACCAUCUAGUAGCUGGUUCCCUC
rnacentral:misc_RNA from 1 species